CUACAACACUCGCUAUGACAUUAUUUGUUCAUGUCUCACGACACAACAUCAAAUAGUUUUAAGGGUUAACGUCAAAAGACACCCUCAAGAUUUGGGGUCAUUCUCAAUAUAGGUCCCCAAGUUUCAAUUCCAUCAAUUUACAACCUAUUAUUUUUAAAUCUAAUAAAGUUAAGCCUUUUGUCAAGUUUAACCGUUGGUCAAAAGUUAACUGAUGACAUGUUUAUUGCAGGGUCCACUUUUUUAGGUGAUGAAUAAUUAAAUAUUAAAAAAUUAGACGGAUAUGCAAAUAAAAAUAAAAACCUAUAACCCUUUUCUCUCUCUACACCACUAACCCCAAGCCUAGCCACCCUCUCUCCUCUCCCCCGACCAGUGACACCAAGCCCACAUCGUUACAACCUCCCGCGCCCUAUGGUUCGGGAAGGAUCAUCGAAAGGUGUUACCGCCGAAGCCGCCGAAGUACAUGGACAAAACGAUGUCAUGCGUCAUCCUCUCGUCGUCAACAACCCAGACAUCCACGGCUACCAGCUUCACGUCCACGACAUGUGUGGCUCGCCUCGCUCAUCUCUCUCUCGCUGAACCGGGUUGAGCUUGUCGAUUGUUAUAUGGAUACCUUCUGGGUAUCUAGUCUUUUGGCGUAUCUGAUUGUCAAAUAAAUUGUUGGGUUUAUGAAUUUAGAGAAUGAUGUUUUUUUUAAAGAAAUGUUACUUUGAAAUUGAUUGAAAGAGGAAGGGGUUGAUGAUGAAGGAGAUAAGUUUGUGAACCCCACAGAUGAUUUUAAAGGCUGAGAAGGGGUGUGGCAGCUGGGGUUUUUGGGUUUUGCUGGGAAACAGGGGAGAUGAGUUUAUGGUGUCUUUGGUUAGGUUGAUUGGGGCAGGGGAGAUUAUAGGGUGGGCUUAGGGUAACUGGUCGAGAGAAAGAAGAGAGAUGGGCGGGGCUUGGGGUUAGUGUGAGAGAGAGAGAGAGAGAGAGAGAGAGAGUGUUUGGUGGGAGAGCUGGGUACUAGAUUCCAAC
rnacentral:lncRNA from 1 species